GCACCCAUAGCUCAAUCGGAUAGAGCACUGGACUUCGAAUCCAGGGGUUGGGGGUUCGAGUCCCUCUGGGUGUA
rnacentral:tRNA from 1 species